rnacentral:rRNA from 1 species
UACCAGCACCCCGAGUGGUCGGGACGAUUAUUGGGCCUAAAGCAUCCGUAGCCGGUCAUGCAAGUCUUCCGUUAAAUCCAGCCGCUCAACGGUUGGGCUGCGGAGGAUACUACGUGGCUAGGGGGCGGGAGAGGCAAGCGGUACUCAGUGGGUAGGGGUAAAAUCCUUUGAUCCAUUGAAGACCACCAGUGGCGAAGGCGGCUUGCCAGAACGCGCUCGACGGUGAGGGAUGAAAGCUGGGGGAGCAAACCGG